rnacentral:rRNA from 1 species
CCUACGGGGUGCUGCAGUGGGGAAUAUUGCACAAUGGGGGCAACCCUGAUGCAGCGACGCCGCGUGAAGGAUGAAGUAUUUCGGUAUGUAAACUUCUAUCAGCAGGGAAGAAAAUGACGGUCCCUGACUAAGAAGCCCCGGCUAACUACGUGACAGCAGCCGCGGUAUUACGUAGGGGGAAAGCGUUAUCCGGAUUUACUGGGUGUAAAGGGCGCGUAGGCGGGUUAGCAAGUCAGAAGUGAAAGACCGGGGCUGAACUCCGGGACUGCUUUUGAAACUGUUGAACUAGAUUGCAGGAGAGGUAAGUGGAAGUCCUAGUGUAGCGGUGAAAUGCGUAGAUAUUAGGAGGAACACCAGUGGCGAAGGCGGCUUACUGGACUGUAAAUGACGCUGAGGCUCGAAAGCGUGGGGAGCAAACAGGAGUAGAUACCCUUGUAGUC